UUUAUGUCGUUAAUCAGGUCAUGAAAUCUUGUCUUUACCCGCUGGCAAACAACUGCCGCUCCUUGUUUAUCAAUUUCUACAACGGCAAAUGCCAUACAAUUUGUUGAAAGAAAAGCAUUACUCAGAAUAUGUCAUCUACGUGCAAAAAUGUUAUCUUAUGAAAUCACUGAUUUCAAAUUCACCAAUCCCUUGUUAAUCAGCUAAUGAGGUGCAGUUACUUACGUAUCUGCUCCUAUAUAAGCAACCUUCGUAUAAACCGUCGAACAACAACAUAUUUGUGGUUCCGUUCCUCUUUGGAGAAGCUCACACACCGUUCCUCUUGUUGAAAAUAUCUUUUGUCGUCGCUUACUGCUCACUUUCGAAAUGUCAAGCGACAGCGAUAGCCUGGGCACUAUCGAUUAUGGAUCGUCAAGUACUGAGAGCUCAUCUACGCGUACUGCACCAUCGGACAACAACCCUCCGAGUAGUGCCUCAGUCACGGACAGCAGCAGCUCCACCGUGUUUAACGACAGUUCAAGCAAGAGUAGUGAGUACUACCUCAAUCCAAUGGCCACCCCCAGCUCGGACAGUAGCAGUUCGUAAAACGAUGAGUUUUGGAAAGACUUGACUUUGUGUUCCCCGUGCCGUUGGUAAAAGUCGCUGCAACGUAAAACUCUAGAUAAAAUCCUGGCUGUUAUCGACCAUUUAUCAGUUUUUGUUCGUCACCUUCGCCUCGUUUUGCUAUGAUGUUUCAGAGAAAGACAGCUUAUUUUAUUUCUCGUCGUAAUUUUUCCUUGGGUUUAAUUCCUUCCCUCCUGAUCGCUUCGAUUCUAAUAUGAAUUUAUCAUCUGUAUAAGCUGUAUAGCUGAUUUGCAUAAAUAAAACGAAGAAUGA